UUGGUUGAUCCUGCCAGUAGUGUAUGCUUCUCCUAAAGACUAAGCCAUGCAUGCCUUCGAAUACGAGGAAGCAAUUCUCUCUGAAUCUGCGAACGGCUCCGCAAACCAGUUGUAAACUAUAGCAAGCAGGCUCGGGGUCGGCUCUCACGGGCUGGCUUCGGGUGAUAUGGAUAACCCUGGUAAUUCUGAGGCUAAUACAUGAACGUAAAACCUGGUUGACUGGGCUUCGGUCUGGGAGGCUGGGGGAUGUGUGAUUGCAGGCUUGGGUAACACCGGGAAAGGGCGCACGUCCAGACCGCGCUAUAAAGGAUGGGACCUCUUCGGGGGACCCGCCCCAGCGGCUCUUGCUGUGUGCUUCUGACCUAUCAACUAGACGGCAGCGUAAGGGACAUGCUAUGGUGACAACGGGUACAGAGGAUUAGGGUUCGAUCCUGGAGAGUGGGCCUGAGAGAUUGCUCAUACUUCUAAGGAAGGCAG
rnacentral:rRNA from 1 species